rnacentral:rRNA from 1 species
AUUGAACGCUGGCGGCAUGCCUUACACAUGCAAGUCGAACGGCAGCACGGGGCAACCUGGUGGCGAGUGGCGAACGGGUGAGUAAUGCAUCGGAACGUACCUUUCAGUGGGGGAUAACGUAGCGAAAGUUACGCUAAUACCGCAUAUUCUGUGAGCAGGAAAGCAGGGGAUCGCAAGACCUUGCGCUGAUUGAGCGGCCGAUGUCAGAUUAGCUAGUUGGUGAGGUAAAGGCUCACCAAGGCGACGAUCUGUAGCGGGUCUGAGAGGAUGAUCCGCCACACUGGAACUGAGACACGGUCCAGACUCCUACGGGAGGCAGCAGUGGGGAAUUUUGGACAAUGGGGGCAACCCUGAUCCAGCCAUGCCGCGUGAGUGAAGUAGGCCUUCGGGUUGUAAAGCUCUUUCGGCCGGGAAGAAAUCGCAUAGGCUAAUACCCUGUGUGGAUGACGGUACCGGAAUAAGAAGCACCGGCUAACUACGUGCCAGCCGCCGCCGUAAGAC